rnacentral:rRNA from 1 species
UUGGAGGGCAAGUCUGGUGCCAGCAGCCGCGGUAAUUCCAGCUCCAAUAGCGUAUAUUAAAGUUGUUGUGGUUAAAAAGCUCGUAGUUGAACCUUGGGCCUGGCUGGCCGGUCCGCCUCACCGCGUGCACUGGUCCGGCCGGGCCUUUCCCUCUGCGGAACCCCAUGCCCUUCACUGGGUGUGGCGGGGAAACAGGACUUUACUUUGAAAAAAUUAGAGUGCUCAAGGCAGGCCUUUGCUCGAAUACAUUAGCAUGGAAUAAUAGAAUAGGACGUGUGG